rnacentral:rRNA from 1 species
GUGCAGGAGGGAACGGAGUCUGAUUGGCGGGUUGGGAAGGGAAGGGCGGAGCAAGGCGACGAUAAGUAGCAGACAGGGGGGGGGGAGCGGAGACAUGGGAAUUGAGAAACGUGACAAACUGUUACGGGAGGCAGAAGUGGGGAAGAUUGCACAAUGGGCGAAAGCCGGAUGCAGCAACGCCGCGUGAGUGAUGAAGGCCUUCGGGUCGUAAAACUCUGUCCUCAAGGAAGAUAAUGACGGUACUGGAGGAGGAAGCCCAGGCUAACUACGUGCCAGCAGCCGAGGUAAUACGUAGGGGGCUAGCGUUAUCCGGAUUUACUGGGCGGAAAGGGUGCGUAGGCGGGCUUUCAAGUUAGGAGUGAAAGGCUACGGAUCAACCGUAGUAAGGUCUUGGAACUGGGAGACUGGGAGGUCGGAGAGGAGGGUGG